rfam:Entamoeba invadens IP1 unplaced genomic scaffold scaff_1105074725571, whole genome shotgun sequence.
GACAACGUGGCCGAGUGGUCCAAGGCAUAUGAAUCGAAAUCGUUUCUCGUUUGAGGUGUAGGUUAAAAUCCUGCCGUUGUCG